rnacentral:tmRNA from 1 species
GGGGGGGACUGGUUUCGACUUGGGACGGUCGUCCCAGGAGAAGCGGGCCGAGGAGCCGACGACAUCUCGUAAACGAUCGCCGGAAACCAAUAAGUGCCAACACUCAGCGCACUGACUUCGCUCUCGCUGCCUGAUCAGUGAUCGAAGGGUCAGCCCGGGCUUAGCCUUCUGCCCGGUCCCUGGCCUCGUUUCGAAGGCUUGCCGCACUGCUGGCGUCCCAGCGGCCGUGCGGGACUUCACUGGGGCUGGGCUCGUCCACCACAGGCCCGACGGGAGGGUGGGAGCCGAGUAGAACGCGACGUCGGGCUGCGCCCGGAGAAGACCUGGCUCACCUCUUGAGGACGCGGGUUCGAUUCCCGCCACCUCCACCC